rnacentral:snRNA from 1 species
UGAUGUGACGAGAGAGUUUG